AUACGGAGGGUGCAAGCGUUAAUCGGAAUUACUGGGCGUAAAGCGCGCGUAGGCGGUUACGUAAGUCGGGUGUGAAAGCCCCGGGCUCAACCUGGGAAUUGCAUUCGAAACUGCGUAGCUAGAGUCUGAUAGAGGGAAGUGGAAUUUCCGGUGUAGCGGUGAAAUGCGUAGAUAUCGGAAGGAACAUCAGUGGCGAAGGCGACUUCCUGGAUCAAGACUGACGCUCAGGUGCGAAAGCGUGGGGAGCAAACAGGAUUAGAAACCCCAGUAGUCC
rnacentral:rRNA from 1 species